UACAGAGGGUGCAAGCGUUAAUCGGAAUUACUGGGCGUAAAGCGCGCGUAGGCGGCUAAUUAAGUCGGGUGUGAAAGCCCCGGGCUCAACCUGGGAAUUGCAUCCGAUACUGCUGUGACUGGAGUCCGGUGAGAGGAGUGCGGAAUUCCUGGUGUAGCGGUGAAAUGCGCAGAUAUCAGGAGGAACACCGGUGGCGAAGGCGGUCUCUGGGCAUGUCCUGACGCUGAGGAGCGAAAGUGUGGGGAGCGAACAGG
rnacentral:rRNA from 1 species